AGUGAAAUAGAUCCUGAAACCAUACGCUUACAAGCGGUCGGAGCCCUUUCGUGGGGUGACGGCGUGCCUUUUGCAUAAUGAGCCUACGAGUUACCGUUGCUGGCAAGGAUAAGUGUUUAAGGCAUGGAUCCGUAGCGAAAGCGAGUCUGAAUAGGGCGCUAUAGUCAGUAGUGGUAGACGCGAAACCGUGUGAUCUACCCAUGGGCAGGAUGAAGCUGUGGUAACACACAGUGGAGGUCCGAACCGGUUGACGUUGAAAAGUCUUCGGAUGACCUGUGGGUAGGGGUGAAAGGCCAAUCAAACUCGGAAAUAGCUCGUACUCCCCGAAAUGCAUUUAGGUGCAGCGCUGA
rnacentral:rRNA from 1 species